UUUUCCAACCCUUCUCUUUCCAUCUCGAACCUCAACCCAUCUUCUCCAAAUGUGAAGAAUAAACACAAAUCUCUAAAAUUCAAAAUAUUAUUUGCUCAAUCUUUUUAUCACUAGCAUGUAAAUUGAACUCAAUUGUUCAAGCAAAAAGGUUUUUUUUUAAAAAGGAUUAGUAAUAUCUUUGAAGCCCUAAUCUAUAGAUGGAACCAUGAAAGAAUGUAUUUGGGGCAAAAUAUGAAAUCAUAAACAAAAAGCGCUUACUUCACAAGAUAUGAAUUUGUUAAUUUUAAUAUAAAAUGAAAAGGAGAAGAUUUUGAGUGAGGAAGAUUCACAAACAUAAUGAUGGGUGUCCCAAGUGAGCCAAACAAUAUAGAUGGAUCCAACCGGGUAUGUACUGAACGACAUAUCGACUGACGUUCAAAAGUCUCGCUGAUUCAGCUGACGUGGUAGCCACUAUAUCAAUAACCUUCAGUGCCUUCGUCUUCAGAGAUUAAAUCACUGCUUUCAGUGUUGUUGUCCUCGUGGCUGUCACACAUUUGACCCAACAAUUACAAUUUUUAGAAAGAAGUGACUUGUGUGGAAUAUGAUUUUUGUUAUCAUAAUUUUUUAGAAGCUUCCUUUCCCUUUGCUGUUUAAUUUAAUUCAUGAAGGUGAUGGUUUGAUUCAACCAAGGGCUUUGUUUUUUGAAAUAGGUUUGCGCUUCAUGUGAUGAUUAAUACUUG
rnacentral:lncRNA from 1 species